rnacentral:rRNA from 1 species
UACGAAGGGGGCUAGCGUUGCUCGGAAUGACUGGGCGUAAAGGGCGCGUAGGCGGUUUGCACAGUCAGGCGUGAAAUUCCUGGGCUUAACCUGGGGGCUGCGCUUGAUACUGCGGCGCUGGAAUGCAGGAGAGGAUGGCGGAAUUCCCAGUGUAGAGGUGAAAUUCGUAGAUAUUGGGAAGAACACCAGUGGCGAAGGCGGCUCACUGGCCCGAUACUGACGCUGAGGCACGAAAGCGUGGGGAGCAAACAGG